GAACAGGAGUUUGUAAAGGUUUCUGAUGAGGUAGGGAAAGUACUGCAGGGUUUAAUGAAUCAGUACAGGUUUGAUAUCAGAUGACGCACGCUGCCACUACAGGAUUACAGCAGCCAGAAGUCUAUCAGGAGACAUCCGCCACCGUAUGUCCUGGAAUAGACAAAUAGGCAUGUGUCAGCAGUAACGGAGAAGGAUUAGAUCUGAUCACUGCAUUAGCGUUAUAACACAGACUGAUGAAUGCUUCAGGUCAGAAGACACCACACAGACAAAGCUAUGGACUACAGGAAAAACUGAAGCUACUUUGAGAAAGAUAGCACACUUUAUUCUGCAUCCUUGUGGCCCACGGUUUUAGACCCCUCCUUUCAUCAGACUGUCUGUUCAUGGACCUCCUCCAAUUAUGUCAUCAUCCUAGAUCACGUUUGGCACAGCGUGGGUACAUAUGAGAUGUUGUGGAUCUUAAAGAUAAAGCAAAGAAACAAAGGAAGAAUCACAGGGAACAGUGGAGAUGCAUGCAGUGUUGUGAGGUUGAAAUGAAUGGAGAAAAGACCGGCAGUAAUGCUGUCCAGGUCACGUGUAACAGGACUGUCAUUCAUCACUCACAGCUUAACUGCAGCUGCUUCCAGGAAGUGAUUCUUAGUAUUUUUAAAGACAUGGACACAUGUUUCUUACUUGACAUACACAACCCCCUGAACUGUACCUCACAUUUGAUCCCCUUUACACAAACAAGCUCUCGUGGACCCUGGAAAAUUUGUCCUUGUAACAAUUGAUUUUCUUUUAAUACGUUGGAAUUUGAAUUGACAAUUAUUUACAAACAUGGAGAAGUUACAUUUUUUUCUCAACUAAGAUAUAUUCAAAGCUGUGAAACACCAGAAUCACUGAUUUUCAUUUUGCAUAUGAUGCUACAAAAUGUCCACAACAUUGUUUAAGGAUACAAAAUAAUGUACAAUCAAGGUUGGAAAUGGGACAGGGUCAAGGAAAUGAAUUUUCAUUUUCAUUAUGUAAUAAAAAUGGAUUUCAGGA